CGCUCCCUCCCCCGCGUUUUUCUUAGCUUCCGCCUCAGGGAGUGACUAAACAGGUCCCCUGCUUUUUAAAUUUUGUGCGGUGUGUAAAUGAAGCCUGAGGUAAGCCUUAGUGUACAAGGCUGCCGAAACAGGACGUCGUUGAACAGAUUAUCAUCAUCCUCGUUCUACUGUUUCUCGGAAUGUAAUCUCUGAACUAACCGCACCAAAUCCACCUGAGGCCCUUGUCCAAAAUGCAAAGACCUUUGCUCCAGGAUGCCUCCUGAAGCCCAAGAUUUUUCUUCCCGUAAGAGUUUGCAAAUAAACUCUGCCAUAAGGCAAAGAAGAACUUGGAAAGGGGCUCCCCAAGAGUUUAAGCCCCGAACUUUUGGUAGUCUCUUGGCCUGGACAAAUGGGACUGAUCUAGACAUCAACGAGACAGCCUUCCAAAAGUUCUGUGCUUGUUGAUACCGAAGGAUUAGAGAGUAGAGACAUAGCAGUCCUGAUAACUAGGGCGCGUUGAGUCAUGGUCCAAUAGCUUUACUCUAUUAUUUACGUAUGAGCUAAUCUGUUGUGUGAAGCAAACAUGCUAUUUAACCACCACGCCCCUUUCAUUUUUUUUUUUUCCCCUUUCAUGUAACAUCAUACUCAAAUCAGCAGCUGGGUUUUUCUAGGUUAUUGCUCAGAAUCUUUACUUGACCCACAAAGUCAUAAAUCCAAACACUACUUUUGUUUCUCCACUUGAACCCCAGUUUAUACGACAGUUGGAAAAAGGAUAAGUAUUAAGCAUGUGGUCAUCCAAAUUCAAGGAAGUUUGGACCAUGUUUUCCUAAUCUAGCUUUCUCUUCACCAAAACUAAAUCAAACCAAACCUGUUGCUGUCAAGUCGAUUCAGCACUCACUACAAUCCUGUGUUACGGAGUAGAACUGUUCCAUAGGGUUUUCUUGGUUGUAAGGUUCAUAGGAACAGAUUGUCAAGCCUUUCUUCUGCAGUGCAGCUGAGUGGAUUUGAACUGCCAACUUUUAGGUUUGUAGUCUAGCACAAACGUUUGGACCACCUAAGGGCCUUUGUGUUUCUGGUACUCUAGGGAGAUUAUGCUGGGUGCCGUGAUUUAUGGAGCUUCCUUUUCCCUAAUUUUUAACGGAGAGUUUGAUUUGAACAAGAAGGAGACUUUAAUCUUCUGAAGGAAAGUUGGAAGGAUGUAUACAUGUGGAUGAAUUUGUGGAUCUAGAAGGAGUUCAUGGAGUUCAAGCCUGGUGGCUUCAAGUUCCUCAGGGACAUAGGAGGCUCUUCAGAAAUUUGAGAAGUCUGCUCAGAACCUGCAAGCUUGGCCCUGGAAUUUGGGAAAGUUACCACCCCUGGAUGCAACUACAAAGAGUGGGGGUAGUACUCAGUGGAUAAAGGCCCUAGCCUUCCAGUCCUUUGGUGGGUUGUUCUGGGCGGUUCUACACAGUUCAUCAGAGGAUUCCCAGUGGACUGAGCCCCGGUUACCCACAGUGGUAACCAGCUUAAUAAAGUGUUUCUUUUGA